rnacentral:lncRNA from 1 species
UGCCUAGAAGCCUCUAGAACCUAUAUCGAAUAUAACUGACCCUAAUAUCAUGGGUCAGUCUUUACAAAAUGGACUGGGCCAAAAACAGGCCCGAAGCUAAAGCAGGUCCAAAAAUAAAAUAGUAGCCCAAUGUGCAGUAUACAUACAAUAUACAAUAAGGAUACAAUGAAAAUACAAAAAUUAUCAAUGUAUGUGUUAAGGCUUAGAAUCUACGUAGUCUUUUAGGUCAACACCCUCCCCCCUCAAGUUGGAGGGGGAGACCACCUUCAACUUGAACAAAAGACGAUGAUGAACAGUGCCAGGCAGAGGCUUGUUGAGAACAUCAGCCAACUGGUGAGAAGUGGAGACAUGAGAAAGGAAAAUCAGACCAUCAGUGAGCUUGGUACGAACAAAAUGACAAUCGACCUCAAUAUGCUUGGUCCGCUCACGAAAAACUGGAUUCUUAGCAAUAUGGAGGGCAGCCUGAUUGUCAGAAUAAACAGAAAAAAGAAAAGAAACAGAAACACCAAGAUCAGUGAGUAAGCGAGAAACCCAAGAUAAUUCAGCAACCACCUUACUGAGUGCCCUGUAUUCUGCCUCAGUAGAGGAUAGAGAGACCACUGGCUGUUUCUUGGACUUCCAAGUGACCAGGCUGUCACCCAAAAUCACACAAAAACCAAUGACAGAUCUGCGAGUGUCAGGGCAAGCUGCCCAGUCACUGUCAAAAAAGGCAGUCACUGAAAUCCAUAGAGCCCUUAAGAUACCUAAGAACAUGGAGGGCAGCAGACAUGUGAGGUAUUCUGGGGGCCUUCAAAAACUGAAUCAAAUGUUGAACAACAAAACAAAUGUCAGGUCUUGUAUGUGUCAAGAAGAGGAGCUUGCCAACCAAGCUCCUGUAAUGAUCAGGAGAAGAGAAAAGAUCACCAGAAUCUGCAUGCAACUUGGUAUUGAGGUCCAAAAGACAUACCACAGGGAAGACAUCUACACAGUCAAACUAAUGUAACAAAUCAGAUAAGUAUUGAGGUUCAAAGGACAGACCACAGGGGGACAUAUACACAGUCAAACUGAUGCAGCAAAUCAGAUACAAACUUGUACUGAUUAAGGAGCACACCACCAGCAACAGUGGACACCUAAAUGCCAGAAAAUAGUGCAAAGACCCAAGGUCUUUGAUUCUGAAUUGGGCAUCCAGGAAGAUCUUGAGGGAAGAAAGUUCAGCAACAUCAUCUCCAGUGAUAAUAAUGUCAUCCACAUACAUAGCCAGAACCACAAGAUACCCAUGCUGGCCCUUGACAAAUAUAGAGUAGUCAUUCAUAGAAUGGACAUAGCCUCUGGACUAUAGAGCAUGAGACAAUAUGACAUACCACUGCCUGGAAGCCUGUCUCAAUCCAUAAAGGGAUUUCUGUAACUUGCACACAAGGGAUGCAGAAACAGAGGGAUCAGAAGAGGCAGAAACACACAAACCUGGAGGAAGCUUCAUAUAGACCUCCUCAUCAAGGUCACCAUGCAAGAAGGCAUUAACAAGACGCCCAGGCUGGCCCUUGACAAAUAAAGAGUAGUCAUUCAUAGAAUAGACAUAGCCUCUGGAAUAUAGAGCAUGAGACAAUUUGGCAUACCACUGCCUGGAAGCCUGUCUCAAUCCAUAAAGGGAUUUUUGUAACUUGCACACAAGAGGUGCAGAAACAGAGGGAUCAGAAGAGGCAGAAACACACAAACCUGGAGGGAGCUUCAUAUAGACCUCCUCAUCAAGGUCACCAUGCAAGAAGGCAUUAUUAACAUCAAGUUGAAAGAGACCCCAAUGUUUCUUAACAGCCACAACAAUUAAGCAUUUAACAGUAGACAUGUUGACCACAUGGGAAAAUGUUUCUGUGAAAUCAACACCUUCAGUUUGAGUGUCACCCCUAAUCAGCCACAACAAUCAAGCAUUUAAUAGUAGACAUCUUGACAACAAGGGAAAAUGUUUCUGUGAAAUUAACACCUUCAAUUUGAGUGUCACCCCUAAUGACAAGCCUAGCCUUGUAUCUUUCAACACUACC